AGCGAACGCUGGCGGCAGGCUUAACACAUGCAAGUCGAGCGGGCAUAGCAAUAUGUCAGCGGCAGACGGGUGAGUAACGCGUGGGAACGUACCUUUUGGUUCGGAACAACUGAGGGAAACUUAAGCUAAUACCGGAUAAGCCCUUACGGGGAAAGAUUUAUCCCCGAAAGAUCGGCCCGCGUCUGAUUAGCUAGUUGGUGAGGUAAUGGAUCACCAAGGCGACGAUCAGUAGCUGGUCUGAGAGGACGAUCAGCCACAUUGGGACUGAGACACGGGCCAAACUCCUACGGGAGGCAGCAGUGGGGAAUAUUGGAGAAUGGGCGCAAGCCUGAUCCAGCCAUGCCGCGUGAGUGAUGAAGGCCCUAGGGUUGUAAAGCUCUUUUGUGCGGGAAGAUAAUGACGGUACCGCAAGAAUAAGCCCCGGCUAACUUCGUGCCAGCAGCCGCCGUAA
rnacentral:rRNA from 1 species